CCUACGGGGGGCAGCAGUGGGGAAUAUUGCACAAUGGGCGAAAGCCUGAUGCAGCAACGCCGCGUGAGCGAUGAAGGCCUUCGGGUCGUAAAGCUCUGUUCUCAAGGAAGAUAAUGACGGUACUUGACGAGGAAGCCCCGGCAAACUACGUGCCAGAAGCCGCGGUAAUACGCGGGGGGCUAGCGUUAUCCGGAUUUACUGGGCGUAAAGGGUGCGUAGGUGGUUUCUUAAGUCAGAGGUAAAAGGCUACGGCUAAACCGUAGUAAGCCUUUGAAACUGGGAGACUUGAGUGCAGUAGAGGAGAGUGGAAUUCCUAGUGUAGCGGUGAAAUGCGUAGAUAUUAGGAGGAACACCAGUUGCGAAGGCGGCUCUCUGGACUGUAACUGACGCUGAGGCACGAAAGCGUGGGGAGCAAACAGGAUUAGAUACCCGUGUAGUC
rnacentral:rRNA from 1 species